rnacentral:rRNA from 1 species
GUUGGGUAGGGGAGCGUUCUGUAAGCCUGCGAAGGUGUACUGUGAGGUAUGCUGGAGGUAUCAGAAGUGCGAAUGCUGACAUAAGUAACGAUAAUGCGGGUGAAAAACCCGCACGCCGGAAGACCAAGGGUUCCUGUCCAACGUUAAUCGGGGCAGGGUGAGUCGACCCCUAAGGCGAGGCUGAAAAGCGUAGUCGAUGGGAAACGGGUUAAUAUUCCCGUACUGGUGGUAACUGCGAUGGGGGAACGGAGAAGGCUAGGUUGUCCGGGCGACGGUCGUCCCGGUUCAAGCAGGUAGGCAGAGUGAUUAGGCAAAUCCGGUCACUUAAUGCUGAGAUGUGAUGACGAACCACUAAGGUGGUGAAGCAAUUGAUGCCCCGCUUCCAGGAAAAGCCUCUAAGCUUCAGGUUACCAACAAUCGUACCCCAAACCGACACAGGUGGUCAGGUAGAGAAUACUCAGGCGCUUGAGAGAACUCGGGUGAAGGAACUAGGCAAAAUGGUGCCGUAACUUCGGGAGAAGGCACGCUGGCGGUAGGUAAAGUCCCUCGCGGACAGAGCUGAAGCCAGUCGAAGAUACCAGCUGGCUGCAACUGUUUAUUAAAAACACAGCACUGUGCAAACACGAAAGUGGACGUAUACGGUGUGACGCCUGCCCGGUGCUGGAAGGUUAAUUGAUGGGGUCAGCCGUAAGGCGAAGCUCCUGAUCGAAGCCCCAGUAAACGGCGGCCGUAACUAUAACGGUCCUAAGGUAGCGAAAUUCCUUGUCGGGUAAGUUCCGACCUGCACGAAUGGCGUAAUGAUGGCCAGGCUGUCUCCACCCGAGACUCAGUGAAAUUGAACUCGCUGUGAAGAUGCAGUGUACCCGCGGCAAGACGGAAAGACCCCGUGAACCUUUACUAUAGCUUGACACUGAACAUUGAGCCUUGAUGUGUAGGAUAGGUGGGAGGCUUUGAAGUGUGGACGCCAGUCUGCAUGGAGCCAACCUUGAAAUACCACCCUUUAACGUUUGAUGUUCUAACCUAGGCCCAUAAACUGGGUCGGGGACCGUGUCUGGUGGGUAGUUUGACUGGGGCGGUCUCCUCCUAAAGAGUAACGGAGGAGCACGAAGGUUGGCUAAGCAUGGUCGGACAUCAUGCGGUUAGUGCAAAGGCAUAAGCCAGCUUGACUGCGAGAGUGACGGCUCGAGCAGGUACGAAAGUAGGUCUUAGUGAUCCGGUGGUUCUGAAUGGAAGGGCCAUCGCUCAACGGAUAAAAGGUACUCCGGGGAUAACAGGCUGAUACCGCCCAAGAGUUCAUAUCGACGGCGGUGUUUGGCACCUCGAUGUCGGCUCAUCACAUCCUGGGGCUGAAGUAGGUCCCAAGGGUAUGGCUGUUCGCCAUUUAAAGUGGUACGCGAGCUGGGUUUAGAACGUCGUGAGACAGUUCGGUCCCUAUCUGCCGUGGGCGUUGGAAGAUUGAGAGGGGUUGCUCCUAGUACGAGAGGACCGGAGUGAACGCACCACUGGUGUUCGGGUUGUCAUGCCAAUGGCAUUGCCCGGUAGCUAAGUGCGGAAGAGAUAACCGCUGAAAGCAUCUAAGCGGGAAACUUGCCUCGAGAUGAGUCUUCCCUGUCGCUUUAAGCGACCUAAAGGAACGUUUAAGACUAAGACGUUGAUAGGCUGGGUGUGUAAGCGUAGCGAUACGUUGAGCUAACCAGUACUAAUGAACCGUGAGGCUUAACCUGACAACACCGAAAGUGUUUUG